rnacentral:rRNA from 1 species
UAAGGUUAAGUUAAUAAGGGCGCACGGUGGAUGCCUUGGCACUAGGAGCCGACGAAGGACGUGACAAACGACGAUAUGCCUUGGGUAGCUGUAAGUAAGCGAUGAUCCAGGGAUUUCCGAAUGGGGGAACCCAACAGGUAAUACCUGUUACCCACAUCUGUUAAGGAUGUGAGGAGGAAGACGCAGUGAACUGAAACAUCUAAGUAGCUGCAGGAAGAGAAAGCAAAAGCGAUUGCCUUAGUAGCGGCGAGCGAAACGGCAGAAGGGCAAACCGAAGAGUUUACUCUUCGGGGUUGUAGGACUGCAAUGUGGACUCAAAGAUUAUAGAAGAAUGAUUUGGGAAGAUCAGCCAAAGAGAGUAAUAGCCUCGUAUUUAAAAUAGUCUUUGUACCUAGCAGUAUCCUGAGUACGGCGGGACACGUGAAAUCCCGUCGGAAUCUGGGAGGACCAUCUCCCAACCCUAAAUACUCCCUAGUGACCGAUAGUGAACCAGUACCGUGAGGGAAAGGUGAAAAGCACCCCGGGAGGGGAGUGAAAUAGAACCUGAAACCGUGUGCCUACAACAAGUUCGAGCCCGUUAAUGGGUGAGAGCGUGCCUUUUGUAGAAUGAACCGGCGAGUUACGUUAUGAUGCGAGGUUAAGUUGAAGAGACGGAGCCGUAGGGAAACCGAGUCUGAACAGGGCGAAUUAGUAUCAUGACGUAGACCCGAAACCAUGUGACCUACCCAUGAGCAGGUUGAAGGUGCGGUAAGACGCACUGGAGGACCGAACCAGGGCACGUUGAAAAGUGCUUGGAUGACUUGUGGGUAGCGGAGAAAUUCCAAACGAACUUGGAGAUAGCUGGUUCUCUCCGAAAUAGCUUUAGGGCUAGCGUCGACAUUAGAGAUUCUUGGAGGUAGAGCACUGUUUGGGUGAGGGGUCCAUCCCGGAUUACCAAUCUCAGAUAAACUCCGAAUGCCAAUGAAUUAUGGUCGGCAGUCAGACUGCGAGUGCUAAGAUCCGUAGUCGAAAGGGAAACAGCCCAGACCACCAGCUAAGGUCCCAAAAUAAUUGUUAAGUGGAAAAGGAUGUGGGGUUGCACAGACAACUAGGAUGUUAGCUUAGAAGCAGCUAUUCAUUCAAAGAGUGCGUAAUAGCUCACUAGUCGAGUGACCCUGCGCCGAAAAUGUACCGGGGCUAAAACAAUUUACCGAAGCUGUGGAUACCUUUAUAGGUAUGGUAGGAGAGCGUUCUAUGUGUGA